rnacentral:sRNA from 1 species
UGGAACCUUUUUGUAGGGAGAAGGGCAGGAUGUUUUUAACUGAAUGUGACCUCACGGGAAUACUAGAGGUAAGGAGAGAAAAAUGAUUGAGGUAACUGUGGGUGUUUUACAUCUCGGAAACCAUGGCUUUUAAUAAGGCCACAUGAAGAGAGAAGCUGGCAUCAUCCCACGCAAAAACCAGUGCCUGGCAGAGUUGUGGAAGAAAAUAAUAAAAUUUCUGAAUGGGGCAGCGUGGAGAAAUCCUAAGAGAAAUAGCAUAAGAGCAUUUUGGAACACAUCCAGGAAAAGAUAACUUUCGACACACCUGUAGACGUUCGCCAGGUAAAGGAGUGAUGGAAACUCUCCAGUUCAGAUCCAGUAGCUUUUAGGGAAGGAACUACAGUUGCUGACUUAAGGUGAAGAAGCAUCUAUUUAAUGUCUGGUCAAAUCCUACAAGAAACACAGAAAUCUAUGAUUAAAAAGCUGAGCACUUUGAUAUACUGCAAAGGGUAGAGAAGGCAGGACGGUCGAAAUUUUCUGCAAGGAAGAAUGAAUUUCAGGAUUUAUCACUAAAUAAGACAAAGUCAUUUAUUUAGUCCCCCUGACACAGCAGGGCAAACUGAGUUGGCAUACAAGUUACCUGGAGAAAAAGAGAGCAAUUCCAGGACUUCCUCUUCAGCCUAAAAGAAGGUACCAGAUCUGUGCACUGGGGCGAUGUGGAAGAGACCUGCUUAUUGCCCCUGAUGUAAGCUCCAGUAAGAAAAGACGUCAAGUACAAGUACUAGGAAAUCACUUUAUACAUCUGUUUAUAGGUUUAUGGAUGCAGAGGCUGAAGAUAAAACGCUGCGUACUCGCUCUAAAGGAACCGAGGUGCCAAUGGAUUCACUAAUCCAGGAGCUCAGAUUGCCCCUGUGAGAAUAGAGCGAAGUAGACUCCUAGACUCCACAAAGUGCUCAAGUGUUGCCUAUGAUUGCUCC